AUGUACACAUCCAUGGCUAUUUGCUCAAGUGGAACAUCCAAACGGCCAACCUGUUCAUGGUGGAGGGGGCGAUGCCUGCUAAGUCCUCCAAUUCAUGCUCAGGUGCAACCUGGAAUCAUUGGGUUUAUGACAUUGGGUGGCAGUAUAAUUCUCAUGCUGACGACAAUUAUUUUUUUUGACGAGGAUUCAGUGGUUGUCUGUGGCAUGUGUUCAACUAGGAACUCGUCAUUAUUGGAGUCUUUUCAUCUGUAUAUACCAAAGCAAGGCGGGAGAAGAAGCAGAUUGAUUGAUGAAGGAAACACAUGA
rnacentral:rRNA from 1 species